CCUACGGGAGGCAGCAGUGGGGAAUAUUGCACAAUGGGCGCAAGCCUGAUGCAGCGACGCCGCGUGAGGGAUGACGGCCUUCGGGUUGUAAACCUCUUUCAGCCAUGACGAAGCGUAAGUGACGGUAAUGGCAGAAGAAGCACCGGCCAACUACGUGCCAGCAGCCGCGGUAAUACGUAGGGUGCGAGCGUUGUCCGGAAUUACUGGGCGUAAAGAGCUCGUAGGUGGUUUGUCGCGUUGUUCGUGAAAACUCAAGGCUUAACCUUGGGCGUGCGGGCGAUACGGGCAGACUGGAGUACUGCAGGGGAGACUGGAAUUCCUGGUGUAGCGGUGGAAUGCGCAGAUAUCAGGAGGAACACCGGUGGCGAAGGCGGGUCUCUGGGCAGUAACUGACGCUGAGGAGCGAAAGCGUGGGGAGCGAACAGGAUUAGAUACCCUGG
rnacentral:rRNA from 1 species